UCGUCCACUGUUGAGCGUCUGGUAUGUGCUUGCUGACUCUUUGAUGAAAUUGUUGUAUAAUUUUUCAUCCAGAUCGGUUCAUGGAAAGGUGAGCAUUUUUUCUGUAUUGCUCAUGAAAAAGGUUGGUAUUGUUUUCGUAUCCAACAAAUAAAUACUACAAAUUACAUAUUGAGUCGAUGCAAGCUGAUCGUGAAUCAUUAUAUGCUGGUCCGUACGUGCUAGAGACGAGACAAAUUCUAGCUGAUAUUUGCUAGACGAUAGCUUGCUGCUGCUGCUAGAUAUACAUAAAUUUUGACUGAAUUUUUUAGAGGAUUGCUUAUACUGAAUUUUGGUACACCAUUGCUUGUCCUUAAGUUUGUUAGACGAUUCCUUGACCCGCUCUUUUGUAAACAGGAAUGACAUCCUAACUAAUCAUGUUUAAUGGAGAAGAAAAGAAGAAAAGAGAAAUGAAAUGCUGCGAUUUGGCUAUGACAUAGCUUCUACAGUGAAAUCAACUGAUUUCCUACUGAUAAGAAGAAGAGAAUCCUCGAGAAGAAAGAAGGCCCACUGAAAUGGCAGCAAAAACAUUAUGAAUAUGCGACCAACAUCUCAUGGAGCCGCUCAUGCAUUAUCAAACACCACCACGGGUUUGUUGCUUUCUCUUAUGGUGGGUUGCAAAAUAUUUGGGGAAAUUGCUGCUUAUUUUUUUGGGCCAUUUGUGCACAUCCUAGCAGAUGUUACCUCUGUUGGUUCAUGUAUGAAUGAAUUUCCGUUCUAUUGGAUAUAUGCUUCUCGAUAUUUGUAUGUAUGCUGUGACCUUCAUGAUGCUCUACUUUCAACAUGAAUAAGUUCACAUGCAUAUCUCUGAUUUUUUUUGCAAUUCAUAUCUCGGAUGUCACAUGAAUGUUCGUGAUUUGCAUUCUUAUUCAUAUGUACACACUUGCAUCUUAAAUGUGCAUCUAUGAAUGAUUACUUGACUGGGUUCUGCAUUAUGGCCAAGAAGGAAUGCUAUUAUCCUUAGCUUGUGUUAGAUAUGAUGUACUCCAUAUUGGGCAGCAUAAUAUAUUCAACUAUGCUGGCACCUGAAAGAUUCUUUAUCUUUUUGGUGCUUUGUGAUACAUUCAAAAUCUGGAAGAAGAAUUAACCAUCCUCUGUUCGUCGUGAAGAUGUAUCCACUAAGUAGUUCAAGAUUUAUGAGUGAAGUACUGAACAUUACUUUGCACAGCUCUGUUGACAUGCAGCCAUUUUGUUGUCAGGAUUCCAUAAUUCAGCUAGUAACAUAAUUGGCCAUCAUGCACGACAGUAGAACAAAAUGUAUCAUUUUACGUGAUAUGCAAAAAGAAAAGUUAAAGAAGGAUGGUGGCACAAAACGGGAAGCAGGUGGUACAUUCACUAGAUGGGGACUGGUCAUAAGCUAAUUAUGGCUUCUUGAUGCUCAUUUAAUUGAUUGCUGCGUACGGAAGUUACAUGUUAAUAUACUCAUGUAUAUACUUUGUUAACGCUACAAAGUUAACAGAUAACUUGGGGCUUGUAUAUGUGUCAAAUGAGACUAUCUUAUUUGGCACAAUAAGAUACUGUCUUCCGUAAAUGUGUUGCUGGACAUAGCAUGAAGAAUGAAUUCAAUUUUUUUUCUUCUAAUUUGCAAGAUUAAAAGCAAGAGUAUGGAUAUUUGAAAAUGUGAGAGAUAUCCAAGCCAGAGGCUAAAAGGUGUUGUGAGCCCGCAACAGCAAAAAGGAGCAUGGAUCGAUCCGUGGCACCCCGGACAAAGUGGUAAACAACCCUCCUCCACUCCAUUAUUCAUGAAGUUUUUUUUAUUUAGAAGCUUUACAAUGUUUGACAUUUUGGAUGCCCCUGAUUGUUAGGUGUAGAACCAAGAAGAAUGAUCAAGGGUGAACACAUGUCUAGCGCGUUCUUAAAGGUGUUUCAUUUUUCCAAGACAAAUUUAGAUGGUUAUAGAUUUUGCGUUUACUGAACACUCAUUUUCUAUGCUUCUUUUAUUAUAUAGCCAGGGGCUAACAGAACCAUAUAAUUUCAUAUUCCUAUUAUAAAAUGUAGCCAUUAAGAUUUCUCACAGUUGUACAGA